GUAGGUGAACCUGCGGAAGGAUCAUUAACAAAUCCUGCUGUUGGUGGUUGCUUGGUGGUGGGGGGUGGUUGGUUCCGUGCGCGGUGAUUGGUGGCUGUGUACAUAGAUGUAUGCAUAUGCCGUAUCGCUGCUAUUGGGACGGCCGGCCCCCCAUCAUCAACACGCCGACACAUAAGCCCCGCAGCCGCAAGGCCGCGUGAAGCACAUUUUGUCGUUUGUCCGAACACAGCGAAACAGAAACAAACUUUUA
rnacentral:misc_RNA from 1 species